rnacentral:rRNA from 1 species
UUCUCUGGUGUUGAAGGCCCUGCAAAGCAGCAUCGCGGUGGCGGAGCGUCGUUUGCGACGCCCAACGCACAAAACAAGCGGUGAGUGCUUUGGGGUGGGGUGACUGCGUACCUUUUGUAUAAUGGGUCAGCGACUUAUAUUCUGUAGCAAGGUUAACCGAAUAGGGGAGCCGGAGGGAAACCGAGUCUUAACCGGGCGUUAAGUUGCAGGGUAUAGACCCGAAACCCGGUGAUCUAGCCAUGGGCAGGUUGAAGGUUGGGUAACACUAACUGGAGGACCGAACCGACUAAUGUUGAAAAAUUAGCGGAUGACCUGUGGCUGGGGGUGAAAGGCCAAUCAAACCGGGAGAUAGCUGGUUCUCCCCGAAAGCUAUUUAGGUAGCGCCUCGUGAAUUCAUCUCCGGGGGUAGAGCACUGUUUCGGCUAGGGGGCCAUCCCGGCUUACCAACCCGAUGCAAACUGCGAAUACCGGAGAAUGUUAUCACGGGAGACACACGGCGGGUGCUAACGUCCGUCGUGAAGAGGGAAACAACCCAGACCGCCAGCUAAGGUCCCAAAGUCAUGGUUAAGUGGGAAACGAUGUGGGAAGGCCCAGACAGCCAGGAUGUUGGCUUAGAAGCAGCCAUCAUUUAAAGAAAGCGUAAUAGCUCACUGGUCGAGUCGGCCUGCGCGGAAGAUGUAACGGGGCUAAACCAUGCACCGAAGCUGCGGCAGCGACGCUUAUGCGUUGUUGGGUAGGGGAGCGUUCUGUAAGCCUGUGAAGGUGGCCUGUGAGGGUUGCUGGAGGUAUCAGAAGUGCGAAUGCUGACAUAAGUAACGAUAAAGCGGGUGAAAAGCCCGCUCGCCGGAAGACCAAGGGUUCCUGUCCAACGUUAAUCGGGGCAGGGUGAGUCGACCCCUAAGGCGAGGCCGAAAGGCGUAGUCGAUGGGAAACGGGUUAAUAUUCCCGUACUUGGUGUUACUGCGAAGGGGGGACGGAGAAGGCUAUGUUGGCCGGGCGACGGUUGUCCCGGUUUAAGCGUGUAGGUGUGUGUUCCAGGUAAAUCCGGUU